rnacentral:rRNA from 1 species
GGUAUUUUGACCGUGCUAAGGUAGCAUAAUAAUUUGUUUUUUAAUUGAAAACUUGAAUGAAAGGUUUUACUGGUUUGUUAAGUUUGGAGAGUUAAAUAAGAAAUUUAAGUGUAGGUAAGAAUUCUUAAAUUUUCUAGGGGACGAUAAGACCCUAAAAGCUUGAUAAAAAGAUUUAAAGGUGAUGAAAAUUUUAGUUUAAUUUGCUGGGGCGGUGAUAGUACAUUAACUAUAGUGAAAUGGAGGGAUCCUAUAUAUUUAGAUAAAACAGAAAAGUUACUUUAGGGAUAACAGUGCGAUAUUUUUAGAGAGACCUUAUCGAUAAAAAUGUUUGCAACCUCGAUGUUGAAUUAAAAUUUCUACACAGAGUAGAAGUUGUGUAAGAAGGUUUGUUCAACC